rnacentral:rRNA from 1 species
UACGUAGGUGGCGAGCGUUGUCCGGAUUUACUGGGCGUAAAGAGCGCGCAGGCGGUCGUGCAAGUCGCGUGUGAAAGCCCCCGGCUCAACUGGGGAGGGUCACGCGAUACUGCUCGACUCGAAGGCAGGAGAGGGAAGUGGAAUUCCCGGUGUAGUGGUGAAAUGCGCAGAUAUCAGGAGGAACACCGGUGGCGAAGGCGGCAUCCUGGACCGAUAUUGACGCUGAUGCGCGAAAGCCAGGGGAGCAAACGGG